AUCAUCUUCUGACAUUUUGCUGUUAGUGGAUUAGAGGCUGUUUGAUUGGGUUGUUAGAUGUUUGGCAGUCUCUUUGUCUUGUUGAUGUCCUUUGAUUAGGACUCUGAAGUUGAUUAGAGUUGCAGCCAUUGAAUUGGUGGGGUUGCACUUGCUUUACGCACAUGCAACUUGAACACUGUUGAGUUACGGAAGAGAAAAAAUGCUUAGCAGAAUUAGAUGGAUGGAGUUUGGAUAUUAUCUGAAAGGAAAUAUUAUGGUGGCUCCUUUCUUGCUCUUUCUCUUAGGUCUUUGAGGAACUAAGACUUCACAUGACAUGCGCGCAUGGCAUGUGUAACUAUUUAUUGUCAGUUUCCCAGUUUGGAUGCUGUUUGCAGGGUGACUUCAGGUCUGAUGAACUUGAGAAGAGACAUAACAAAUUCCUUAUUUGUCGUCUCCUUCUGGCUUCUGGUUUGGGGUUGAUUAUGAUGUUGGUCAUAUUUAUUCCUGCAUAUGGUUUUCUAGAGUGCCUUUUAUGGAAGAUUCCAUGAUUUGCCUAAGAAUUUAACUUUUUUGGAGAUGAUAUAAAGUCCAAUGUGGAGGCUUUUUUUUAUAGCCCAUGGGACACACGGAGCACAAGAUGAAUUGCGUGUUCACAGAGCCAAUGUUGUCCUUGUCUUACCUUUGUCAAUGUGCCUUUGUCAUGUGUUCAUGAGGCUUUUAACACAUCAGACCAAGGGCAGAGAGACGAAUUGCUUGUUCCCAUAUUCAAGGUUGUCUGUGGUACAGGCAUAAUACGUGCAUGCCUGAUCCCAAUAAGGAAUUUUUCACUGGAGGACUUGGAUGGGUUUGAAACCAGAAUGGGUCUCUUCUACCAUGUGCUUAAAAUAUGGGCAUCCUACCAAUAACUGGAAGGGCUAGGUUGCUCAUUUGAGGGGAGUGGGUUGAGGCUCUCUGCUUGCAGUUGUGUUGGGAUUUAGCAAGCUGUCCAUCAUUGCUUUUCUGUUCAACGCUCUGAUAACAAUGGUUUUCUGUUCCAAAAAUAGUUACUUUUAACUAUUGGAGGGGAUAUCUCCGGUAAGACUCCAGCUGUAGACUUUCGGCUGAAUAUCUAAGGACUUGAUGCUUCUGGUUCUCUUUUCCAGAGUUUUUUUCUCUUAUGAACAAGAGAUUCUGGUGUCGGUGAAUAAGAAUGAAAUUUUGAAGUGACGCUUGCCAUCGAUCAACAGAUCUCUUGAAACUUUCACUGGUUUCCAAAAUAAUGGUGAUUUCAAUUUUGUCAAGAUGGGUCAUUGGGACUGGGGUUUUUUAUUCAGUUCUGAUCACAAUGCAUCGUCAAUAAGUGGGACAAUUUGGAAACAAAUUGCUUUUAUAUGGAUACGGUUUCUUCCUGGUCUUCAAUAGCUAUGGAAUUUGACUAGGACAGAGAAGAUUUACUGAUUGUAGGAGUCUCAAGUAUUUCAGAGUCACUGUAAGAACAAUACUCGCCUUAGGCUGGAUUGGUAGCAUUUGGUGCGCUUCCUUAGUGGUAAUUUCUCUUGAAAUGACUGGUUGGUUGCAGAUGGAUGAGGUUAUUAUCUUUCUGGGAAAUUGCUUCAGUCGGAUAUGGGAUUUAUUCUAUUCUCUUUUCUUUGUUAUUUAAUUGUCAUCGCCUCGAUUCCCUUAUGAUGUAAACAAGAUUUUCACCUGAUGGAUAUGUUUCACAAAACCUGUCUUACUCAUUUCUCUUCUUCUGAUGUCGGGGAAAUGGAUGGUCCUUUGAAUAGCAUAUACCAGGUGAUCUUCAAGAGUGUUGCUACCUCAUCCAUUUAUAGUGAGUAAUGUUCCUUCUUUGGUUAUACAGAUUCUUGCCAGCCAGUAUGUUGAGGUCUCUCUGGGAAAUGCUCCCCAAGCAUGGUUAUUGUGAAUGCUAUUAGAUGUGGAAGUAUUUACUUGCGUCCAGCUCCUGGUACUAUUGACAACCUCUAUCAAUGCAGAGCACUUGCAUUUGUUCAUUAUAGUAACCCGGUUUUUGUUACACAAUUAGUGUUCUGUAUUAAGUUUGGUACCUACCUUGACCAUGUAGCCAUAUGAAAGCUCUAAUUCUGAUCAAGAGAAUUUCUGUCUUGACCAUGUAGCUAUAUGAAAGCUCCCUAAUUAUGAUCAAGAGACAAUUUCUAAAUAUUUGUUCCUAUUAGUCGUUUUCCUUCUCAUUGAUGCUUACCUUGCAAGGCCAUAUCAUUUGCAUUAUCAGCAGUGAAGUGAUAUUGAGAACUUACUGAGAAGCCAGUCGCCUGCAGAUCUUCAUACUGAUGUAGAGGUCUUCGUGUAUCUCCAUCGCCUCCUAGGACCUGAAUUCAUUGUGGGGUUUGCCUAUGGUUUUCCUUCACAGUUGGUUAAGCACGAUGCAAUCUCAUCUGACUCUGAACAUAUAUUACUCUACUGUCUUGAGAUUUACUUGAACACUUAAAUUUGUAAACAUCUUUAGGACCCAUGAUUAUGAUGAUGGAGCUAUCGGUAGAAGUUUGAUGUUUGUAUCUAACUCCUUUCAGAAUCCCUCUCUUUAAUUUGAAGUUUGAACGAAGUUAUGACGCUCUCUCUCUUUAACUGUUAUUUCUUUCAUUGGAUGACAACUGGGAGAAGCGGGUCAUCUUGCAGAUCUUGAAUCUGUUUAUGUGAAGAAGCUGGGAUCUUCUAUUUCCAUGCACCUCAGCUCCAGGUUGUCAUGCUGAUUUCGAAUCUGUCUGGAGCCAGAGCCACGCUUAAUUGCAAGGAGGUAGUAUCAAAGUUAGUGAACUGUCCACAAACUUUCUGCAAAUCCAUGUUGAUGAGAGGGGUGAGUUUUAGCGUGACGCAUGUCCUUUGUACUAAGAUGGGCUAUGACACUUGUUCUGGAUCCUUUUACAAAUGUGACGUUUGUAUUCAUAUGUAAAAGGAGCUUCUGUGGCACAAGAAAGUUUUUAGCAUGCGUUUUGUAAACAGAGUUGGGUCUUUCCGUCUAUAAUCUGGACAUUAGUGCACUGGUUAUGCAACUAUCGUGCCAACCUCAGAACUGGUGAAAACUUGCGGUGAGGAAGGCUACUUUCAGCAAUGCGGCGGCCGUUGAAUUUUGCUAGAGUGCAACUAUGGCGAAUAUGUUGGCUACGUAGAAUGCAAUUUUGUCUUGAUUAAAGAACCAUCCCAUAUCCCAUCUGGAGUAGAAAACCUGCUGCUCUGCUGAAUGCUUUGUUUCCUUUUGUCGUGGUUAAGUCAACAGAAACAUCUAGAAGAUAAGAGUUAUCUUCAUUGUGGUGUGGCCGGAGGAGAGCGGUACCAGACCACUUGUUACUGCUCAGUAAAGUCGAGAUGGAUGUAGAAUUUGUUGGAAUGUGUGUUGCCAAGGGAGCAAUUGAAUCUAGAUGGUUGCCGUAUUGUAAUUCUCAAUUCAUAAUGAUAAUGUGCUCCUUUUAUCCGUGGAUGUAGGUCAAGUUGGCCGAACCACGUAAA